rnacentral:rRNA from 1 species
UGAAAGAGGGGGAUCGUAAGACCUCUCGCUGCAAGAUGAGCCUGUGUAAGAUUAGCUAGUUGGUGAGGUAAAGGCUCACCAAGGCAACGAUCUUUAGCUGGUUUGAGAGAACGAUCAGCCACAUUGGGACUGAGACACGGCCCAGACUCCUACGGGAGGCAGCAGUAAGGAAUAAUGCGCAAUGGGGGAAACCCUGACGCUGCCAUGCCGCGUGUAUGAAGAAGAUUUUAGGAUUGUAAAGUACUUUUAGCGAUGAGGAAAAGCUUUUGGCUAAUACCUUAAAGCCUUGACAUUAGUCGCAGAAAAAGCACCGGCUAACUUCGUGCCAGCAGCCGCGGUAAUACGAGGGGUGCAAGCGUUAAUCGGAUUUACUGGGCGUAAAGCGCAUGUAGGCGGCAUUGCAAGUUGUAUGUGAAAGCCCCGAGCUCAACUUGNGAACUGCAUACAAAACUGCAUUACUGGAGUGUAGUAGAGGAUAACGGAAUUUCCUGUGUAGCGGUGGAAUGCUUANAUACAGGANAGAACAUCAGUGGCGAAGGCGGUUAUCUGGGCUACAACUGACGCUGAGAUGCGAAAGCGUGGG